AUGAGGCUGCCAGGCCUCUGUUCUGGGAGUGAGCACCUAAGAGUAUCUCAUAGGCGCUGUUGUGGCUGGAAAUCCUUUUCCAGAUGCCCAAAGACCCACGUGCCAUGGAAGAGACACAGUUACCAUGCCCACCACUUCCCGGGUGAAAGGCCCCCCACUCCAAGUACAGAGAACAUGGCGUCUCAGCUCAACGACUACAGCCAGCUUCUCACCGGAAAUCUGGGGCUGAGGGCGGGGGCGGAGCAGAGGGGAAGAUCUGUAAGCCACCCAGACCUUGGCUGGUUGAAAACAAGCCUCUGUCCAGGAACCUCACGCUGCCCUCUGCCCCCACCCCAGGGACCAGCUGGCAAGAACUACAGCUUGUAUAAACAAGGCCACAGGAAAGCCGGCCCCUUAUCUGUUAUCAGUUCUCUUGCUCCAGCUCAGCCACUUUGCCGGAACAGGGCAGGAGGAGGGAGCUGCCUGGACUCCUCCCCUUUCUUCUUUAUCUUUGCUCCAAGGCUGGUUCCUCCUCCCCCAGGGAUGGCGGGGCUCCCAGGUCACUCCUUCCCGCCAGCCAGCAGAGAAGGGAGGCGUAGCUACCAACCCGAGUCAAGAAGUCAAGGCCAGUCUCUGAUUGCACCGGGAGAGUCCCUCCUUCUUGGUUCCAUCAGGAGGGGGUCCUGAAUGUGUUUAUGUUGUAGGAGGAGGUGGGCAGGAGCGGCAGCAGUACAGCCUGUCCGCUGAAAGCUGUGAAGUAUUCACAAGACUCCUACCCUCUGUCUUUAACAUCUAGGACGGGAGGCUUGCAUUUGAGUCCUCAGGUGUCUAGUUGGAACAAGACGGAUGAGAGUUUAUUGGAUACAAGUCCUCUCCGGCUCUAAAACUCUGUAAAGACCAAGUUAGAAGGCUGCCAAGAAAGGUUGUAGCCAGGGGGAGACUGACUGUCUCCUUCUGAACUUCUAAUUUCACAAGUGUGGUACUGACCCAGAAAGAGGGGGCGGCAGGCUAAUACUCUCCAGGCUGUCACGUUGCACUAGGGACAUUCCAGCCUGUGAAAACUAGGAGUCUGUGGCAUCUGGUUCCAUGAAAUGAAAUAUCUGAGCCACAUCCCUAAGAAAACAGAUUCCUGUAUUUCAGACCAACUGAACUGUGAAGACAGAAGAUGCGAGCUGCUUCCCCCUCGCACAGCCACAUGCCCUUCUCCUAUCAGAAUCCAGGGGUCCAUGGAAAUGGUUGAAAGGAACAGUGGACUCCAGCCUCUAAAGCAAGACAGAUGAAGUUACGGUCUCCAAACUACCUAACUGAGCCAGAUAUAGUGGUGAAUGCCUAUGAUUCCAGCACUCAAGAUGCCAAGGCAAGAGGAUGGCCUCAAGUUCAAGGUCAGCCUGGGCUACAUAGUGAGUUCAAGUUCCAC
rnacentral:lncRNA from 1 species